rnacentral:rRNA from 1 species
GCAAGUCGAACGCAGUAGCAAUACUGAGUGGCAGACGGGUGAGUAACAUGUGGGAAUCUGCCUUGUGGUUCAGGACAACAUUGGGAAACCGAUGCUAAUACUGGAUAAGCCCUUACGGGGAAAGUUUUAAUGCCAUAAGAUGAGCCCGCAUUUGAUUAGUUAGUUGGUGAGGUAAUGGCUCACCAAGACAAUGAUCAAUAGCUGAUCUGAGAGGAUGAUCAGCCACACUGGGACUGAGACACGGCCCAGACUCCUACGGGAGGCAGCAGUGGGGAAUCUUGCACAAUGGAGGAAACUCUGAUGCAGCGAUGCCGCGUGAGUGAAGAAGGCCUUUGGGUUGUAAAGCUCUUUUGUAGGGGAAGAUAAUGACCGUACCCUAAGAAUAAGGUCCGGCUAACUUCGUGCCAGCAGCCGCGGUAAUACGAAGGGACCUAGCGUAGUUCGGAAUUACUGGGCGUAAAGCGCGCGUAGGCCGUUGAGUUAGUUAAUUGUGAAAUCCCAAAGCUUAACUUUGGAACUGCAAUUAAAACUGCUCGACUAGAGUUUGAUAGAGGAAAGCGGAAUACAUAGUGUAGAGGUGAAAUUCGUAGAUAUUAUGUAGAACACCAGUUGCGAAGGCGGCUUUCUGGAUCAACACUGACGCUGAGGCGCGAAAGUAUGGGUAGCAAAGAGGAUUAGAUACCCUCGUAGUCCAUACCAUAAACGAUGAUUGCUAGAUGUUGGAAAUUUAUUUUCAGUAUCGCAGCUAACGCAUUAAGCAAUCCGCCUGGGGAGUACGACCGCAAGGUUAAAACUCAAAUGAAUUGACGGGGACCCGCACAAGCGGUGGAGCAUGUGGUUUAAUUCGAAGAUACGCGCAGAACCUUACCAACCCUUGACACGUCUGUCGCGAGUUUAGGAAACUAGACUUUUCGGUUCGGCCGGACAGAACACAGGUGCUGCAUGGCUGUCGUCAGCUCGUGUCGUGAGAUGUUUGGGGUAAGU